UACGAAGGGGGCUAGCGUUGCGCGGAAUCACUGGGCGUAAAGCGCACGUAGGCGGAUUGUUAAGUCAGGGGGGAAAUCCUGGAGCUCAACUCCAGAACUGCCUUUGAUACUGACGGUCUUGAGUUCGGGAGAGGUGAGUGGAACUGCGAGUGUAGAGGUGAAAUUCGUAGAUAUUCGCAAGAACACCAGUGGCGAAGGCGGCUCACUGGCCCGAUACUGACGCUGAGGUGCGAAAGCGUGGGGAGCAAACAGG
rnacentral:rRNA from 1 species